rnacentral:rRNA from 1 species
UACGUAGGGUGCAAGCGUUGUCCGGAAUUAUUGGGCGUAAAGCGCUCGUAGGCGACUUGUCGCGUCGGCUGUGAAAACCUGGGGCUCAACCCCGGGCCUGCAGCCGAUACGGGCAAGCUAGAAUUCGGUAGGGGAGACUGGAAUUCCUGGUGUAGCGGUGAAAUGCGCAGAUAUCAGGAAGAACACCCGUGGCGAAGGCGGCUCUCUGGGACGGUACUGACGCUGAGACGCGAAAGCGUGGGGAGCGAACAGG